CCCCCCCCCCCCACACACACACACACAUACACACCAAUAGAAGAAAAACUAUAUGGAGAGCUGCCUGGCAUGGAAACUACUGCGCAGCUCAUCUGAGAUAUAGAGGAAAUCACCAGAACACUCCAACAUAUGAAUGAUAGCCUAAUGAAGUAGUAAACAGGUUAGAUCUGGUUUUAGCUGCCAGACACGAUGAAGACGACUUUUUCCUUUUAACUUCUAGAAAAUAAACUUUUUAUUUUAAAGCAGUCGUCUUGUUCAUUGUAUUUACCUUGAGUUAUUUAAUAAGUAAAUCAAGUGAAUUCGUUACUGAACUGACGCGUAAGAAACAGUUAUUUAAAUAUAGCGACUUCCAGUCUAUUUGUUUUUCUUCCUGUAAUAUCAUUUCUUUCAGUGUCAGAUGUAUGUCCCGCACUUUGUAAUCAUUUGAAUAUAUAUAACAAUCAAAUCUUUUUUGGCUGAACUGAAUGUCACUCGUAAUUAUUAUUGAAUAUUGCCCAUAAUAGGAUAAAAUUGAGUAUUUUGGAUUUUUUUAUAUAAAAAAAAAAAGAUAGCAAGAUAAGAAAAUGUUUGAGUAACAGUGUAAUAUCAUUCAGUAAUUUGCUUCAAAGAAUUAUUACGAGCACAUCAUAUGACAAUUUUCCUGUCUAAGUAAUUUGCAUGGAACUUCAAAUACAGAGGGACUUUGUGAAUAAAGUAUUUAAAACAAAUUAAAAGUAACAAUGAAAAUGUUACAAAAGCACAAAAAAAACAGUAAAAUAAAAAAAAAAUCAUAAUUAGAAAAUGGGGGGGGGGGGGGGGA